GGAGGGAUGGCCGAGUGGACGAAGGCGGCAGUCUUGAAAACUGCUGGGCCGCGCUAGUGGUCCCGUGGGUUCGAAUCCCACUCCCUCCG
rnacentral:tRNA from 1 species